CAUUAACAAAAACUUCUCUAUUUCUAUUUUUCCUAGAUACGAUUUACUCUGUCUGUAGAACAAGUUAUUCUCCAGAACUAAAGAUCGAAGAGAAGAAGCUAAGGAACGUAGCUGAGCUGAAGAACUGAUCAAGAUUUGAGCUGAAGAUUCUCUUCUCCAGAAUAUAAUUUUUCUUGAAGGGCUGAAAAUCUGAAGCUAAAGAACUAAGGAUCAAAGAAUUGAGGAUCGAAGAAUUGAAGAUCAAUGAAAUGAAGAGCUGAGGGUUAAGAACUAAAAGCUUGGCAGAAGAUUUCUCCGAUACCGAUUUCAUCAAGUGCAGAAGUUAUUGAUUACUUUGGGGUUCUUAUAGCUAAAAUUCCAAAGUAGAGGAAGAAUGUGCUGAAAAAUUUGAACCGUCAAAGUUAGCCCUAGUAAUCUUGAGCAGACGAGGAAGAGGGCAGUACUACUGGAAGCAUUUGAUUCUUUUGUAUUUGAGGAAAGCAAGACGCUCUUUGUUGAAGCACUGGCGUAAAAUGAAGCUCAUGAGGUAGAAGAA